GUUUUGAGGUGUGUGUGUGUGUAUACAUAUGUAUACAUAUAUGUAUACACACACACACACACACACACACACACACAUCAUAAAGAAAU
rnacentral:miRNA from 1 species